rnacentral:rRNA from 1 species
GACGAACGCUGGCGGCAGGCCUAACACAUGCAAGUCGAACGCUGUAGCAAUACAGAGUGGCAGACGGGUGAGUAACGCGUGGGAACCUUCCCAGUGGUGCGGAAUAGCUCAGGGAAACUUGAGGUAAUACCGCAUAAGCCCCUAGGGGGAAAGAUUUAUCGCCAUUGGAUGGGCCCGCGUCGGAUUAGCUAGUUGGUGAGGUAAUGGCUCACCAAGGCAACGAUCCGUAGCUGGUUUGAGAGAAUGACCAGCCACACUGGGACUGAGACACGGCCCAGACUCCUACGGGAGGCAGCAGUGGGGAAUCUUGGACAAUGGGCGCAAGCCUGAUCCAGCCAUGCCGCGUGAGUGACGAAGGCCUUAGGGUUGUAAAGCUCUUUUGCCGGGGACGAUAAUGACGGUACCCGGAGAAUAAGUCCCGGCUAACUUCGUGCCAGCAGCCGCGGUAAUU